GCGACUCCCACUUCCGGGUUUAGUUUAUCGACGAUUCCGCAAUGUUAAUGUUGUUAUAGAGCCGUGAUAAAAAUCAUGCUGUCAUAAUUGAUUUUCACAACAUGAAAUAGUGGUGGUUUAUUUAAUUUAAAGUACUUUAUUGCACAAGAGAGACGCCCAUCUGUUAGGGAGUGCUUUUGCCCGGCUGGAACUACAUUGGACGAAUGUUUGCUGGCUCCAUUUCAAAUUCAUUUACGAUAAUUGAAAGCUUUUCCUUGUGAAUUUGCCUACACCACAAUGUCAGGGAGUCCAGCUGUGCUACUUCGUUUGGUGGCGUCGGCUUACACUGUGGCCGAGAAAGCUGGAGAAAUAGUGAGAAAAGUACUUCAACGCGGAGAACUCGGCAUAGUGGAGAAGGAGGGAGCCCAUGAUCUGCAGACACUUGCUGAUAGACUUGCACAGCGGAGCAUAUGUGCUUCACUGUCCAGACGCUUCCCUAAAAUUACUAUCAUUGCCGAGGAGGAACUCCCAGCUGAGGAGGUUACGGAGGACCUGAUAGAAAAUGGCCAGGCAGAAGAAAUCCUUCUGAAUGUUUGUCCAGCUGAAUAUAGUGGAGUGAAAGAGGAGGAGCUAGUUGUGUGGGUGGAUCCAGUAGAUGGCACAAAGGAGUACACUGAAGGUCUUCUGGAUAAUGUCACGGUGUUGAUCGGAAUUGCCUAUGCAGGCAGAGCCAUCGCAGGUGUCAUCAACCAGCCUUUCUACAAUUACCAGCUUGGGCCAGGGGCGUGUUUGGGAAGAACCAUGUGGGCAAUGCUGGGCCUGGGUGCCUUUGGAUUUCAGCUGCAAGAAGUUCCGGACAACAAACGCAUUGUGACCACCACCCGUUCUCAUAGCAGCAAGCUUAUAACAGACUGCGUCAAUGCCAUGGAACCUCAUGAGGUUUUACGAGUCGGUGGUGCAGGAAACAAGAUCAUCCAGCUUAUUGAGGGAAAAGCAUCCGCUUACGUCUUUGCAAGUCCAGGAACCAAGAAAUGGGACACGUGUGCUCCCGAAGUUCUUCUGCACUGCGUUGGAGGUAAGCUGACGGACGUGCAUAAUAAUCCGUACCGCUACGACGCCGAUGUGAAGCGCGUAAACUCCGGCGGCGUUCUUGCCACGCUCAGAAACCACGAGCACUACGUCAGCAGAGUGCCUCAGUCGGUGCUGCAAGCCCUCAAGUCCGACUGACGUUCUACCUCCGUGGGACAGUGAAUCUUGGAGCGGUCAUAGGUGAAGUUGUUGAAUACUGACUGGUAAUAUGGGAACCAUGAUUUCUCUGAAAAAAGGCUGAAUGACCACAGUGAAGUCCGGCCGGGUGUCGUAACGAUUGGACUCCACCAGUUCGUUCAGCAUCAGCUGUUCUCCAGUUUUUCCAGUGAGGUCGAGGUGGGCUUUGGUAAGAUGACACAAGGGCACAGAAAACUGCAAAAGGACAGAUGAUUGGUGGUCGUCAUGGUGACACAUGCUGUGAUACUCACUUGACGAGCCAGGUAGGGCAUUUCAAUGAGGCGUCCACGUGCAUUUUUCUCAAGGGGAUAAUGUCCAGGGGUUCGAUUAAGUUGACAAGAGCUCGUGGAACCUGCAGGAGACGCUUGCCGUCAAAACACUGAAACUCCAGCGGCGCUGUGUCUAGUUUACCUCUUUGUGUAGAUAAUCCAGGCUUUCUCUGACAUUUUUGACAUAAUUUUCCACUGAGAAGAAGAGCUGUAAAUGAAGAAGAGUGAAGCUUUUUGUAUGUGCUUUUUUUUUUUUGGGCUUCAUUGACAGAAGGUACUCACCGAAUUGUAGCAGUAGUCACAGAUGUCGUUCCCACCUACAAACAAAGUGAUCACUUUCCAGUCGGAUUUGAAGUUGAUGCUCUGCAUGGGAAGCAAAUAUCAAAGGCGUAUUAAAUGUUAGCCGUUUAUAAUUGUACAAUUUAUACAGCAGUAAGACUUACGGAGUCAUUCUUCAUCCGCGCCACAAGGGUGCGCACUUGAGAUGGCACGUCCCUAUUUAAUACAAAUUUUUAAAAAAA